UGAUGAACGCUAGCUACAGGCUUAACACAUGCAAGUCGAGGGGCAUCAGGAAGAAAGCUUGCUUUCUUUGCUGGCGACCGGCGCACGGAUGAGUAACACGUAUCCAACCUGCCCUUUACUCGGGGAUAGCCUUUCGAAAGAAAGAUUAAUACCCGAUGGCAUAAUGAUUCCGCAUGGUUUCAUUAUUAAAGGAUUCCGGUAAAGGAUGGGGAUGCGUUCCAUUAGGUUGUUGGUGAGGUAACGGCUCACCAAGCCUUCGAUGGAUAGGGGUUCUGAGAGGAAGGUCCCCCACAUUGGAACUGAGACACGGUCCAAACUCCUACGGGAGGCAGCAGUGAGGAAUAUUGGUCAAUGGGCGCUAGCCUGAACCAGCCAAGUAGCGUGAAGGAUGAAGGCUCUAUGGGUCGUAAACUUCUUUUAUAUAAGAAUAAAGUGCAGUAUGUAUACUGUUUUGUAUGUAUUAUAUGAAUAAGGAUCGGCUAACUCCGUGCCAGCAGCCGCGGUAAUACGGAGGAUCCGAGCGUUAUCCGGAUUUAUUGGGUUUAAAGGGAGCGUAGGUGGACUGGUAAGUCAGUUGUGAAAGUUUGCGGCUCAACCGUAAAAUUGCAGUUGAUACUGUCAGUCUUGAGUACAGUAGAGGUGGGCGGAAUUCGUGGUGUAGCGGUGAAAUGCUUAGAUAUCACGAAGAACUCCGAUUGCGAAGGCAGCUCACUGGACUGCAACUGACACUGAUGCUCGAAAGUGUGGGUAUCAAACAGGAUUAGAUACCCUGGUAGUCCACACAGUAAACGAUGAAUACUCGCUGUUUGCGAUAUACAGUAAGCGGCCAAGCGAAAGCAUUAAGUAUUCCACCUGGGGAGUACGCCGGCAACGGUGAAACUCAAAGGAAUUGACGGGGGCCCGCACAAGCGGAGGAACAUGUGGUUUAAUUCGAUGAUACGCGAGGAACCUUACCCGGGCUUAAAUUGCAGUGGAAUGAUGUGGAAACAUGUCAGUGAGCAAUCACCGCUGUGAAGGUGCUGCAUGGUUGUCGUCAGCUCGUGCCGUGAGGUGUCGGCUUAAGUGCCAUAACGAGCGCAACCCUUAUCUUUAGUUACUAACAGGUUAUGCUGAGGACUCUAGAGAGACUGCCGUCGUAAGAUGUGAGGAAGGUGGGGAUGACGUCAAAUCAGCACGGCCCUUACGUCCGGGGCUACACACGUGUUACAAUGGGGGGUACAGAAGGCAGCUAGCGGGUGACCGUAUGCUAAUCCCAAAAGCCUCUCUCAGUUCGGAUCGAAGUCUGCAACCCGACUUCGUGAAGCUGGAUUCGCUAGUAAUCGCGCAUCAGCCACGGCGCGGUGAAUACGUUCCCGGGCCUUGUACACACCGCCCGUCAAGCCAUGGGAGCCGGGGGUACCUGAAGUACGUAACCGCAAGGGUCGUCCUAGGGUAAAACUGGUGACUGGGGCUA
rnacentral:rRNA from 1 species